UUUUUACAGCGGGGAUUCUAUUGCUCUGGGGCGUGGGGCAGGCGGCUAGGGACAGGGAAGAGACCUGUGCGUCCAAGCCCAGCCGGCCUCGGACCGUCUGCUCUUCAGGCGUGCAAGAAAUGCAACACUGCCGUCUCAGUACAGCCCCUUCAGCGUUGUACUAUAUUGCAUGUAAUGAAGCUGCAGAGGUGCAGCCACCGUGGCCUGGGCUGCUAAGUCUAUUCUGAAGGCUUCCUGAAGACUCAGAGAAACAGAAGCCUGCAUCCCUUCAGCCCCUGCAUCAGUCUCUGUGAGCUCUACAGAAGGGAAUCCCUCAACUCUUUCAAAAGCCUAAUUCUGCUAUAGCUGGGAAGAUCCUCAAAAAGGCUUAAUAGCAAUAUCAGAUUAAGUCCUUCGAUUCUGUUUACUAGUGAAAUUAGAGAAAUACACCACUUAUAUUAGUUAAUACCUAUAGCUACACUGGAAGAGGGUGAACUGCUCAGUUAAGCUAGAAAAUCAACACAUACAUUUGCUGGCCUCUGCUUUGUUCUGUGUAACUUUGAUCAAAAGCCUUGUCAUCCUGUUUUGGUGCCUUGGUUUUAAGUUUCAAUUUCAUACAUCUUUAAAGAUUUAAAAAAUGUUUCAUCUCUAUCAUGAAAUAUUAUACAGUAGCUAUAAAAAGAGCUUAUUCUAUCUAUCUAUAUCUAUCUAUCUAUCUAUCUAUCUAUCUAUCUAUCAUCUAUCAUCUAUCUCAAUGUAGAAAUAUCUCCCAGACAGAUUAAGAGAAGCAAGUUAAUGAGAAACAUGCCUAAGGCACAUUAUUAAAGGAAACAACCAGAUAAAAAUAUUGUUAAGGAAAGCAAGUCAUAGAAUAUAUAUAAGAUGAUUCCUAUUUAAAAAUUAUACAUUUCUGCAUCUGCAUGGAAAUUUCUGUAAGAAUAUCUGCCAGGGUCUCACAGUGUUCCCUCUGGAGGAGGGAUUAGAAGAGAAUUUCACUUCGAAGUUUUCAGUAUUAUUUGUUUUCCAGUGUGCAUUGUGUUAAUUUUAAUCAUAAAAAACAGGAAACUGAAUAUACCCACGUACACACACUUGCUAUGAACUAAGCCACUGAGCCCAGUGCCCAGACACCAAGAAUGAAAUCCAUUCAGCUCAGCUCAAUGCUCAGUGUUUGUUUAUGGAACGAAAUGUCUUAGAACUUGAUCUGAAGGAAGAUAUUUUAAUGCUGUGCACAUACAAUGUCUUGGGAGGCUGUGUUGAAAAGCUGGAACUGGUAUAUUAAGAAUAGUAUAGCCCAGCCACGGUGGCUCAGUGGUUGAGCAUCGACCUAUGAACCAGGAGGUCACGGUUCAAUUCCCGGUCAGGGCACAUGCUUGGGUUAUGGGCUUGAUCCCCAGUGUGGGGCAUGCAGGAGGCAGCCGAUCAAUGAUUCUCUCUUAUCAUUGAUGUUUCUCUCUCUCUCUCUCUCUCUCUCU